rnacentral:lncRNA from 1 species
CCACAUUAAACGAGAUCAGCCAGGGUAGGCAGCUCAUGCUAGGGACGGGCUCCACCCAACAGCAAGCCCUUGGGCAACUUGUGAAACUGCAUAGACUGAGUGCCCAGAUCUUCCGCAGGCAGUUUAUGAAGUGAAAGCAUUUUGGAUACGACAAUAAGUUGAACCUGUUUCGUGGUCUUCCAACUUCCUUCCUGGAUUCUGAGGCCCCAGACGCCCUAGUAUGGAAUUACUGGAGUUCUAAGACCUGGCCACUCCUGAGGAUUAUAUCAGCCACUUGAGAAAUGAUGGGAUCAUUUAAGCUCAUUUAAGGUAUUAUCUAGCAGUUGGUAAUAGUGCGUCUAAUUACAGACUAGAGGAAAUAUUUAGUUGGAGGGAGUAGGGGAGAAGAGGAUGAGAAAAGAGAGACUUAUAAGUGCAUCUUCCUCCUUCAUCUUUCUACUUGUACUUACCUCUCCUGCUUCCUGUUCUGUCUUGCAUUUACUACCACUAAAUGCCAUUCACAUGACCAGGAAUGUUAGAUUGUCACUAUCACCUGCUUCCAUGGAACACAUAAAUGUUUCAUGUUACUGUGUUCAAAAUAGUGAUUAAGUAGAAUAAAUGUUAUAGCUAUAAAAACUGAGGCUCGGAGAGAUCAAUAAUCAUAACAUCUAGCAUUUACAUGACACUUUUAGUCUUCCAAGUACCUUUCUAUAUCCUAACUCAUGUGACAUAGGUGAUAUUCUGGGCACCUCUGUAUGUCUCAGCUUCAACUUUGAAAGAGG